UGCAUUUAUAAGGCUGGACAGGAGUUUGAGGGGCUACCUUGGGAAAAGGAACUGAACAUGUGUGGAGCAGCUACCAUGAGUUGGACUCUUUCACCCACUCUCUGGGCGAACUCCCAGCCCUCAAGUCUUUGGACUUGGAGAAUCUGUAGCUAGGAAGAAACACAAUCACAGUCCAACCCAUUCUUCGGUUAUAUUCAAGAGGCCAAGCGAGAUUCAACUGUUCUAGAAGAAUUUCUCCAACAUUUCAAGUUGUCUUUUGAUCUGUCACUGUCUCCCGUCACCCCCAGAUGGGACCAUCUAGUUGCAGGAAAACAAGCUCAGGGCUCCCACCUAUUCUACAUUAUGAGUGAUUAUGUUGGUAAUGUGAAGCCUGAAGAUGGAAACAGACUCAAUUCUUGAGUUACUACUCAGAAGAGAGCUUCCCUGGAGAACGCUCCGACAAGCAACACGG